rnacentral:lncRNA from 1 species
AACAACUUUAGAGGGGUCAUACCUGAAAUGAGUCCAAAACUGAAGAAGGUGGAUUUAAGUGAAAAUCAAUUCCAGGGAAAAGUACCAAGAUCAUUAGCAAACUGCACCUUGCUUGAAGUUCUUGAUCUGGGAGACAAUCAAAUAGAUGAUUCAUUCCCUUUAUGGCUUGGAACUCUUCCAGAACUGCAGGUCCUAAUCUUGCGAUCCAACCUGUUCCAUGGAACAAUAGAGAAUCAUACCACCAAUUCAGAGUUUCCAAAGUUGCGAAUCAUCGACCUCUAUAACAAUUCUUUUGCAGGAGAUUUGCCACUGGAACACUUCAAGAACUGUGAUGCCAUGAAAUUCAAGGUAGACAAGCUGGAAUAUAUGAACGUCAUACUCCUCCCUCUAAUUGGGGGUUGGACACUCUAUGAAAACUACGGUAUUACAGUCACAAACAAAGGCAAUACGUUAUCUUAUCAGAAGGUUUCUAACCUGAUUACAUUUGUUGAUCUCUCUAGCAACAAAUUCGCAGGAAACAUUCCAGACUCCAUUGGAAGCUUUUCCGAUCUUCAGUCCCUCAAUCUUUCCAACAAUUUUCUCAGUGGUUCUAUCCCAAAAUUCACAGAAAACCUCACUGCUCUGGAGUCAUUUGACAUUUCUAGAAACAAUCUCACAGGUAAGAUCCCUCCACAGCUAGCAGGUCUAGGAUUCCUUGCAUAUUUCGACGUAUCUUUUAACCGUCUAACUGGACCGAUACCACAAGGGAAACAGUUUGAUUUAUUUCAGAACGACUCCUACAAAGGAAACAUGGCAUUAUGCGGACCACCUCUAUCCAAAAAGUGUGGAAAACAGGCACCACUGUCACCACCGUUAAUCUCUCAAGAAGACGAUGAUUCUAAUUCCUUCUUGAAUGUGGUUGGUGUGAUUAUUGCGUCCAUUGGAUUUGGAAGUGGACUAAUAGGUGGAAUUAUAUAUGGGGACAAGUUAGCAACCAAGUGCUACAUGUAUAUAACUAUUCGCUUCUUGUCAAAGUAUAUGAAAUAGAUUACUGCAGGUUUCUUGUGCACAAUAAAUAUGUUCUUCUAUGCCAGUCAGUCAUCUAUCGAGUCUAAACUCUGAUACCAUGUUAAGUGACCAGUUCUCCCGAAACCUCGAGGUGUUGGGAGGAGGGCUUAUCCGGAUCAUAUAAUAUUCCAAAAGGGCUGUUGAGUGUUGAGUCAUUUGGCUUAAUAAGAGAGGAAGAGGUAGGGCAACUUAUUCAGACAAUUUCUUUAUCUUGUGAAUCUAGUAUUAAUAUAGCCGAUAAAUUCUUCCCUAUGACAAAUUACACUUUAGAGCAAGCAUCAGCAAGAUUUUAUUCGUUUCGAUGAAAAAAAUAUCGAAGUUGGGAUUUAUGUUACCUGAUAUAUUUCCUUUGUCGAAGUUUCUCCAUUUGAUUACUAUUUACUAAUACAAAUGCUGCACCGGAGAAGAUCCAUAGAAGAACUGAGUGUUCUUGACAGGGGAUGUCAUGAUUUGAAACGCAAUUCGAUAAGAAUGACCGUUGACCGGAUAUGGAUUUAGGUCUUUUAACGGGAAACAUAUCCGCUUAACAUAUAUACUCCCUCCAUUUCAAAAUAAUAGUCGACUUUGUGCACGUAGUUUAAGGUGUGUAAAAAAAACAUGCUUCUAUAUAUUAUUUUUGAAUUUUUAUUUUUCUGAAUAAAAGUUUAACAUCCCUAUUUUUAUUAAAAAAAGAAAAUUUGAGAAAUAAUAUUUAGAAAUAUGUUUUUUAUGCACCUCAAAAUACGUGCAAAAAGUCAAAGCGACUAUUAUUUUGGAAUAGAGGGAGUAUUUAUUUGGUAGUUUAAUAUUAACUUUUUGAUAAUUAGAUGUAUCAAAAUAUAUUUUUAAAUAUAUUGAAUAUAUGAGAUGAAUUUAAAUUAAAAUAUUUAAAUAUAGUAAAAUUAGAAUAGAAUAGCUGCUAAAAUCGAUUUUAAAUUAUAAAAACCAGUAAACUAGCUCAAAUAGCGAAUUUUUGAUACUUCGACUGAUAAAUAGUUUUUUUUUAAAUAUAAACAAAUGAUAUCUGAAAUCCCAUCUGAAUCCCAUAUAUUUUUAUAUGAACAGAUUGGAUAUGAAUCAAUAUAUCUAUUAUCUAUUAUUAUAUAUCUAAUACAACAACUUUGAGUAAAUUAAUUCAAUAUGACUAAUAUACCCUUGACUUAUUACACAUAUUUUAAUAUAUAUAAAGGUUAUUAUUGACUUUUAACACUAACGUAUUUAUUAUACAUUAAUGUCUAAGCGAUGUAUUUAUUAUACAUUAAUGUCUAAGCAUUAAUAUACAUUAAUUAUAACAUGAACGAAUUAUUUUAAUAUUAUACAUAUAAAUAACAUAUAUCAUUUUUAAAAUUUUAAAUUUUGCACACAAAUUUUGUAAAUUUUAAUAUUCUACCUGAUUUUUGACUUAUUAAUCUAAUUUUGACUAAUUAAUCAUCGAUUUAAUCGAUUUCACCAUAUCGUAUUAAAAAUUCGCCUGGUUAUCGAUUAUUUGGUUAAUCGGUCGAUUUUUAGAAUAUUUAAUUAUUGUGAUUUAAUAAAAUUAUAUAUGAUUUAAUAAAAUUAUAUAUAUGAUUUUUUAACUGUACGAUAAAGACUCUGAUUCGACAAGAAUCUUAUUUGUUUUUUUUUCAAAUUUUCAAUAAUUUUAGGUGAAUGAUAAUUUAAUUAUAUAAUAAAAUUUUAAAUAGUGUAUAUUUUUUUAUGUUUAUAUUUUAAUAAAUAUCAUCAUAGCGAGGAUAUAUGUACAUUUAGACAUCAAGAUAAUAUCUAUACUAUUAUAUACUUAUAUAUAAUAAGGGUAAGGGAGAUAAUUUGGUCGCAUGGUUCUCUGGUCCAAAAGCUUAUCAGAUCUUAUAUUGAACAAAUAAGCAUCGUUAGAUUGGAACAAAAUUAAAUUCUGUUCUAGAAGGCAACUGAUAUCUACUUGCAUGUUUAUAAUUUCUUUUCUGAAUCCAAAACAAAUUCUGUCUUUCACAUGUAUAUGUUUUUUUUUAAUCCUAAAUAAAUAUUUCCUACCAGUUUUAUUCGUAGAAUCAUAUAAAUCUCACCGUCACAAUUUUUUUAUAAUAUAUUUUAAAAUUAAUAAGCCGGAUUUAUGUGAGAAACAAAUACAAAAACUUUUUCUUAAUCCAAAAUAGAUUCUACCUUCUUAUUGCAUAUUUAUGAUUCCUUUUCUUAAUUCAAAACAAAUUAUGUUUAUCAAUUUUAAUUUAGAACCAUAUAAAUUUUAUGAAAAAUAUUUAAAUCACAUUAUAAUAAUUUUAAUAUAAAAUACAUUUAUUAAUAUAAUCUAAUGGGAGUUGGCAUAACGUAUUCCACUCAAAACUUAAGCCUAUGACAAUUUUCUACAAUUUAAUAUAAAAUACAUUUAUUAAUAUAAUCUAAUGGCUGUGACGAUGCGGUUUAUAUGAUUCUACAAUUAAAAUUUGUAAGAAAUAUUUAUUUUGAAUUAAAAAUAACCAAAAACACAUGAAAGACAAAAUUUGUUUUGGAUUCAGAAAAAAAUUAUUAACAUGCAAGUAGAUAUCAGUUUUCUUAUAGAACAUAAUUUAAUUUUGUUCUAAUUUAACGGUGCUUAUUUGUUCAACAUACGAUCCAACGGAUGAUAAGCUUUUGGACCACAGGACCAUGCGACCAAAUUAUCUCCCUUACGCUUAUUAUAUAUAAGUAUAUAAUAACAUGUUAUAGUAUAUUUUUUUAUUAUCUAUUAACCAAAACAUUAAAUUUAGGUUAGUAUGAUGGGUCGGUAUUUGGUUUCAUGCAUCUCUUUAAAUUAUAAUAUGUUUUAUAUGAUAUUAUUAAUUAUUAAUAACGAGAUAUUAAAAGGUUGAUUGGUUAGUUUGGAUCUGAGUUUAUAGGCCUCCUUAAACUAUAACAUGUAAAAAAAAUAUUUUAACAUUCUCAUUAAAAUAUAUAUGUUCGACCUAAUUUUAAUUAGUAAUUUGACGGACUUAACUAUGAAGAAUUUAUCCAAUUGUUAAAUAAAAUAUUUAUUUAACCAAAUUAUUCUAUCAUAAUUUUAUUUUUACAAUAAAAUUAGAUAAAUUAAAAAUAUAUACAAUUAAAUAAUAAAUAUGUUAACCGCCCGUGCAUUGCCCGGGUUAUAAGCUAGUGACUUAUAAUACGAGUACAUAUGAAAUUUAAAUUAUUUUUAUAAUAUAAAUAAUCUCAAUUAUUUUAAAAAUAAAUAAAAAAUAUAAUAAUAUAUCAAAAAAAUAAUUUAAAGCAACCCGUGUAAGAAGCUAGUUUAAAUAAAGCCCUAAUCCUAUAUAAUUAAAUGAAUAUAAUAAACAUAUUUAAUGAACAUACCACUUGGUUCUGGUACAAGGGCCUAACCAGGCAUAUCAUUUGGAAUCGCAAAUAGUGAACUUCCAUCAGCUCAAAUUCUGUAUCAGUUCAACUGAAACUCUCUGACGGAAUUAUGCCAGAAGAACUCUGACAUGUCAGAGCGAUUCAGAAGAGCUGUCAGGAUACAAAAUCGAACUAAAUGGGAACCCCCUUCAUUCCUAGAUAUCACCUAGUAAAGUACUUGUUUUCUAAGCUAAUAAACUCGCAUAAUGCUAUCGUCCAAUGUAUGUCAGUGGCAACGCUUAAGAUGCUACCGCUGUUUUUCCACCUUGUUCAAAUUAACUUGCUUAUCAUGUAAUAUGGUCUGCAACAUUAGUCAUUACUGGUAUCUACUAUGUACUAAGUUACUCUGCUUUCUGCAAAAUAUAAAUGAAGCGAUCACUAGAAUCCUAAAUUUUUUCAGUUUGUUAAAAUAAUGAUUUUGGCUGGAUCUGCAAAGGGGCAGGGUUGUUAACUGUCAUUUUCCAGUCUGUAAUCAGUUUCCUCAUAACAGCAAAUUUUCCUCGUCAAAUCUAUUCGCUAUAUUCAUUUCUCGUGCCUGGUUUCAUAUUGUUUAACAUUAUUAGUUAGGUAGAAUAAGAGCUAGUAGGAAAAUCAUAUAGUAUAAAAAACAAAAGUUUCUGGCUCACACACAAUUCAGCUUUGGUUAUCAUUUAGUAUGGCUACCUUUGUUGAAUCUGACCCUUCCAGUCUUCCACUACCACCUCUUCUUUCUUACAACUUGUUGAAUUUCAGUUCCCAUCGGAUUUGCUCUUAAUGUAAUGUAUAAUGUAAUAACAUCUAAUAAAAGACAAGUCUUUCCUUAUUUAAAGGGGUUUUUAUGUACAUUUUUGUUGAUCCUCAUGGAGGCACAUAUCUAGCUUACAGAAAUUUAUAUAACCUGCGUUAUUGUCAUAGUUCAUAUCAGUCAUAAGAAAAUUUUAGGCACUGUACCGUUUGGGUAUUAUGGUGUCAAUGUCUUCGUAUAUUGUUUGCAUACUGCAUCCUCUCUUCAUACUAUGCAUUUUUCAUUCUAGUUUAGUCGGAAGUACAGAAUCAGAUUCUUCCAUGCAACCACUUUGCCAUGUCGAGGAGAGAAUGGCAUUGUUACGGUUCAAACAGGGGUUUGAAAUCCUGAAAACAGCGUCUCGUAUGCCUUCUGCUUAUCCAAAGAUUCUAUCAUGGAAGUCCCAAGGAGAAGGGAGUACGGAUUGCUGCUCGUGGGAAGGAGUCUAUUGCGAUCAAGAGACAGGUCAUGUUGAUGGUCUUGACCUUAGUAGCAGUUUUCUCUAUGGUUCCAUUGAUUCUGAAAGCAGCCUGUUUCGCCUUUCUUACUUGCGCAGCUUAAAUCUUGCUGACAAUCAUUUUAAUUACUCCUUGAUUCCAUUCAAAAUAGCUUCUUUUUCCAGACUUUCACAUCUUAAUCUUUCAUCUUCUGUAUUUUCUGGCCAGAUUCCAUCAGAGAUCUUGAAAUUGUCCAACUUGACCUCUCUUGAUCUAUCUUUUAAUGUAAAUUUUUCAUCCCUGGAGAAUCUUUUGAAACUUGAGACACCUGAUCUAAGAAGCCUUGCUGGAAACUUGACAAACUUGAAGGUACUUGACCUCAGUAUGGUGAACAUUUCAUCUGCAGUACCUGAUUUGAUGACAAAAUUAUUCUUUCUGUCAACUCUUGGGCUCAGAAAGUGUGGGUUAUAUGGUGAAAUUCCGAUUGAAAUCUUCCAGCUGCAAAACUUAUUAAUUCUUGAUGUUGGGAGGAAUCGGGAACUCAGGGGUCAUGUGCCUGAAAUUUUUGAUUCCAGCCUAAAGCUUGAAGAAUUAAGACUUGACUACACAGAUAUCUCCGGCAAGCUACCAGACUCCAUAAUGAAACUCAAAUCUUUAAGGAUUCUGGAUAUCCACUACUGCCUUUUUUCAGGUUUUAUUCCAGCUACAGUCAGUAACAUGACCACACUUACGACACUGGAUUUGAGCAGGAAUUAUUUUUCUGGCAAGGUUCCACCCCUUGCAAGCAUGUCACAACUCUCUUACCUGUCACUUGCUCAUAAUAAUUUCACCGGAAAGAUAUCAGCAUCCUUUGCAAAUCUUACCAGUCUAACUUAUUUAGAUCUUAGUAAUAAUAGAUUUUCAGGGGUCAUCCCGUCUUGGCUUGUGAACCUAACUCAUUUAACACAUCUUGACCUCUCUUACAAUCCAAUGAAGGGAUCAAUUCCAACAUCAUGGUCACAGAUUGAAAAUCUUGAAUAUCUUAACCUUUUUCAUGCUAAUCUCAGUGGCAUUGUAGAAGCAGAUAUAUUUCUUUGCUUAAAAAAACUAACUGUUCUUCAACUUUCGCAGAACAAUCUUUUUUUAGUAGACAAUAACAGAACCAACAUUACUCUUCCACAAUUCAAAUACUUGUCUAUAAGUAAUUGCGGAAUGAAGGAGUUCCCAUAUUUCCUCCGGUUUCAAGAUGAACUAGAGGAUCUGUUCUUUGACUCGAAUGAAAUUGAAGGCCUGAUACCAGAAUGGAUUUGGAACAAAAGCAGGGGUAGCAUGGAUUCACUAUGGCUUGGAGGAAACCAACUUACAGGAUUUGACAAUAAUCCAAGUGUUCUGCCAUGGACUCGUUUACGUUUACUGGAUUUAGGAGAUAACAUGAUGCAAGGUUCCCUCCCAGCAUCGACCCUAACUUAUUAUGCAUCAGAUAAUAUUUUGACAGGGGAAAUCUCGCCUUUGAUCUGCAAUGCAAAAUCUCUCAUUCUGCUACAAUUGAGCUACAACUACUUGGGCGGCGAGAUUCCUUCAUGUCUAGGAAACUUCAGCAAUGAUUUGAUGAUACUGAAUCUAAAAGCGAACAACUUUAGUGGGGUCAUACCUGAAAUGAGUCCAAAACUGAAGAAGGUGGAUUUAAGUCAAAAUCAAUUCCAGGGAAAAUUACCAAGAUCAUUAGCAAACUGCACCUUGCUUGAAGUUCUUGAUCUGGGAGACAAUCAAAUAGAAGAUUCAUUCCCUUUAUGGCUUGGAACUCUUCCAGAACUGCAGGUCCUCAUCUUGCGAUCCAACCUGUUCCAUGGAACAAUAGAGAAUCAUACCACCAAUUCAGAGUUUCCAAAGUUGCGAAUCAUCGACCUUUAUAACAAUUCUUUUGGAGGAGAUUUGCCACUUGAACACUUCAAGAACUGUGAUGCCAUGAAAUUCGAGGUAGACAAGCUGGAAUAUAUGGACGUCAUACUCCUCCCUCUAAUUGGCGGUUGGACACUCUAUGAAAACUACGGUAUUACAGUCACAAACAAAGGCAAUACGUUAUCUUAUCAGAAGGUUUCUAACCUGAUUACAUUUGUUGAUCUCUCUAGCAACAAAUUCACUGGGAAAAUUCCAGACAGCAUUGAAAGCUUUAGGAAUCUACAGUCCCUCAAUCUUUCCAACAAUUUUCUCAGUGGUUCUAUCCCAAAAUUCACAGCAAACCUCACUGCUCUGGAGUCAUUUGACAUUUCUAGAAACAAUCUCACAGGUAAGAUCCCUCCACAGUUAGCAGGUCUAGGAUUCCUUGCAUAUUUUGACGUGUCUUUUAACCGUCUAACUGGACCGAUACCACAAGGGAAACAGUUUGAUUUAUUUCAGAAUGACUCUUACAAAGGAGACAUGGCAUUAUGCGGACCACCUCUAUCCAGAAAGUGUGGAAAACAGGCACCAUUGUCACCACCGUUAAUCUCUGAAGAAGACGAUGAUUCUGAUUCGUUCUGGAAUGUGGUUGGUGUGAUUAUUGCAUCCAUUGGAUUUGGAAGUGGACUGAUAGGGGGAAUUAUAUACGGGGACAAGCUAGCAACCAAGUGCUGCAUGUAUAUAACUAUUCGCUUCUUGUCAAAGUUUGUGAAAUAGACCAAAUGAAAGGAUGAUCAACCUGGAUGUUUUGUUGUCAUUUAUCUAUGUAUUAUUAAGUUCUUUCCGAAAGAGCUAUGGAUUAUUCGAAUUUCAUGUAACUAAAGCUCCUGUCAUUUAUGCAAUAGUAUAUAUCUUGAAAAUUAUGUAUAUAGUUUUGUUAUUUGUGAAGUUGGAGAAAAUUUAGUGAAGGUGUUGAGUUCAGAGAUUUGAUUUUACUAAUGAUUGAAUACAUAUUUUUUGUCCUUUCACUUGAUGCCUGCAUCAUAAUUUUACAGUUAACUUAGCAGGGUCUCUCCCACAGAGCUUAACUUUUAUACUAGCAUUUUGGUUGUUAAUGUGAUUCAACUUGUGUUUUCUUUAAAUUACAUAUACUAGCCUUUAAGGGCGGGUAUAUAAUUCAUAAUUUAUUAAUUAUAAUUUAAAUCUUAACACUAUUUUAUUAGUAUUUUAGUAUUAAUGAAUUGGAUUUAAUUAAAUUAUAUUAACCAACGUAUUAUAUCUUCCAGCGGAAAUUUAGCUUUCACAAUUUAUUAUCUAUCUAUAAAUAUUUUUCUGAUAUUAAUAUGUGACAGUUUAUUAUUCAAUUAAUUUUAAAUCAAAAUUUUCAUAUUUCAUAUAUCUUCAUAUGUUACGUAAUGUUUCGUGUUUGUAAUGAAAUAGAACAUGUUAGAGUUAAAUUUCGAGUAGAAUACGUUAUAAUCAAAAAGUAGCGUUUAUAAUUAUUUAUAUGUAUUUUAGACAAAAAAUAUUCAAAAUUGUAUAUUUAUAAUUAGUUAUACAUUUAUCUAUAAGCAUUUUUUUAAUAUUAACUAAUUAUAAAUUAUAUUUAAAAAGAUAUUAAUAUACAUAAGGAGUGUUUUUAGUAUAUGAAACUGUUUAAUAGAUAUCUACAUGUUGUAGACUUUUAGUUUUAGAGGAGAGUACCAAACCAAGAGACUCCCAAACCAAAAAUUUGUACGACUACAAAUUAUACCCAUGUUGGCUUUUUAUAGUAUAUAUAUAUAUAUACUAGCCUUUAACCCGUGCGAAGCACGGGCGGAUAUAUAGUUCGUAAUUUAUUAUUUAUAAUUUAAAAUUCAACAUCAUUUUAUCAGUAUUUUAGUAUUAAUAGAUUGAAUUUUAAUCCGAAGUUAGUACACGUAGAUUUAAAAAUAAAAAAAUAAAAAAAUUAAAAUCUUUUCCAAACAUAGCCGAUCGUGUAAUACAUUUGAAAGAUUCAGUAAAUCAAUCGAACUUCAACGUAAUUUUUUAAUCUUAAUUUUUUUGACAACAAUAACUUUUAAGAUUAGAGUUAGAAAGGGUUAUGUAAUGGUUCGUGUUUAUAUUGAGAUAGAACACGUUAAAGUUAAAAAGAGUUAUAUGAAUGUUCUUGUUAAAAGUAGAUAUUCAAAAUUGUAUAUUUAUAAUUCUAUUUAUAACAUCAUUAUAAUAUUUAUAAUGAAAUAUUAUAUGAUAAUGGAUUGUUAUGAGUGUUUUUAGUAUUUGAAACUGUUUAACAAUAUAAUACUAAUAGACUCCACAUUUGUAGACUUGUAGUACCAAAAGGAGACUACCAAACCAAAAAAUAUAACUAAAACCUUGGACUACAAAUUAUACCCAUGUUGGCUUAUUAUAGUAUAGUAUAGAUGAAAUGUCUUUUACAACUUAUUGCUUCUUAAGGUGAUUACCGGGGAAUGAAUUUAAGGUAGAUUGGAAAUAAUUUCACAAACUAUUUUUCAAUUUUUUUAUAUAAGUUUAUUUAUUUUUUUUAAUUUUUUUUUAAAAAAGAGAAGUUAAAAGGUAAAUAAUACUAAUUUUUUUACAUCUUAAAAUAUGUGAAAAAAAUCAAAAUGACUAUUCUUUUCACGAAAUAUAUAAAAAGUUUAUGUUUAAAUUUGCAUAUUAAGUGGUCAUAAAAUAAAAAUGUUCACCAGAAUGGGACAUAUGACUAACAGUAUGAAUCAAGCCACCAAAGGUUUAUUUGAAGUCACUGAUUUCACAAUAGUGCUUCUAAAUGCUAAUCAACUUUUGAGAAAGUAUUUUAAUAUGACUUUAUAGUUUAUACAAUGUUUUUAUACAAUGUAUAUUAAUCAGUGUUGUAAAAAGCGGGAAUCAGACUUAAUCGGUGAAGUCACGGAACAUGGAUUAAUCGGUGAUUAAUUGAAUUGAUCGGGGAUUAAUCGGAUUAAUCAAUUCGGCGAGCUACGGAACAAGUAUUAAUCGGUGACUAAUCGUGAUUAAUCACCGACUUUUAGAACAGAGAUUUUAAUAUGACUUUACUUCCAUCGCCUAUGUAUAAAUUUAUACUGCAGAUCAUUUUGCAUCAGAGGUUAACGUCAUUAUUAUGAUUUUUGUUUAUAAUCUUUGAUUUGAUUUGGAUCCAGCAAGGGUUGCUCAAAAUGUCAGUUUCAGUGUGAAAUCAAAUUCCUCAGAGGAGCAAAGUUUCUUCGUCAACUGAAGUCAAUUCUGUGGGAUCUAAAGGAUGCCUGAAGUCACUACUUUUCUUGCUCGUACUUAGUUUCAGAUAUUAUUAGUUAGGUAAAAGAAAAUCCAGUAGGAAUAUCAUAUAGUACAUAUCAUAAUAACGAAGUUUCUGGCUCAAUUUAAUUUUGCUAUCUUACCGAGUAAGACUUUUACUACAAGAAGAAGAAAGAAAUUAAAACGUAAGUACCUGAAAAUACCAUGGCCCAUGUAUAAUUUAUAUUGCAGAUCAUUUUCAGUCUGAAAUCAUUUUGCUCACAGGAGCAACUUUUCUUCGUCAAUUGAAGUCAUUUCUUUAGGAUAUUAAGGAUGCCAGAUGUCACUAGUUUUCUUUCUCGUACGUGCACCUGGUUUGAACUGUUUCUUUAAUAUUAUUGAUUAGGUAGAUAUAUACUUUCCCAAAAACUGAAAAGGGUCACUAGAAGAAAAUCUAGCAGGGAUAGCAUAUAUAUUAAUCUAACAGAGACUGAUUGACAUAUGGACAAUGAAGUUUUUGGCUUCUUCAGCAAUUGUCACAAAUCAACAUUGAUAUUAUAAGAAGUUAGAUGUACUGGAAAAUACCUGAGAAGAACAAUGCAAUAUUAAUAUCUUAGCAUACUGGAGCAAUCCAUUCCAGAAAAUUUUGUAAAAAGAUAAGAGCAUCGAGAAAAAUUCAUACAACCCUAUUGAAAUAAUGCAAAGAGUAGUAAUAGUCGUAGUUGUACAGGGUUAGAGGAUUCAUUCGUAGCCUAGUGGCAAUCAGCAAAAAUUCCNCCCAUAAAACCCCCCCCCCCCCCCCCCCCCAAUGUGACAAAAUUCGAAACCUUACCAACCUCUCAGUUCCCUCUGUAGGAUGUAGAAAAACUGUAUAUGAACAUAAGAACUAACAGCUCAACUAGUAAAGCUAAGAAAUGUUUAUUUAGCAGCCUGGCAGGGAUCCUAGUCAUCUAUACAGUUCAAGUCUUUCUUUAUACAUUCAACUAGUUUUUUAAGUAUAUUUCGUAGACUCUCAUGCAGUCAUGCAUGCACAUACCUAACUUAAAGAAUAAAUGAAGCAUAUUUAUAUAUUUGUUGGCUAUAUAUAGUUGUAUAUAAGAUAAACUGACCUAGUUGUCAUAGUUCAUAUCAGUGAUAAGCAAAAUAUAUGCACUGUACCAUAUUAGUAUUAUGGUUUCAUUAGCUUCAUAUAUUAUUUCCAUACUGCAUCAUCUCUUUCUACUAUGCAUUUUUCUUUCUAGAUUAGUUGGUAGUACAAGUUCAUAUCCUUCCAUGGAGCCGCUUUGCCAUGCGGAGGAGAGAAUGGCCUUGUUGCGGUUCAGAGAAGGGUUUGAAAUCCUGAAAACAGCCUCUCAUGGGCCUUCUGCUUAUCCAAAGAUUCAAUCAUGGAAGCUCCAAGGAGACGGGAGUACGGAUUGCUGCUCGUGGGAUGGAGUCUACUGCGACCAACAGACAGGUCAUGUCGAUAGUCUUGACCUUAGUAGCAGUUUUCUCUAUGGUUCCAUUGAUUCUGAAAGCAGCCUAUUUAGCCUUUCCCACUUACACAGCUUAAAUCUUGCUGACAAUCAUUUUAAUUACUCCUUCAUUCCAUCCAAAAUAGCUUCUCUUUCCAGACUUUUACAUCUUAAUCUUUCGUCUUCUGUAUUUUCUGGCCAGAUUCCAUCAGAGAUCUUGAAAUUGUCCAACUUGACCUCUCUUGAUCUGUCUUUUAAUGUAAAUUUCUCAUCCCUGGAGAAUCUUUUGAAACUUGAGACACCUGAUCUAAGAAGCCUUGCUGGAAACUUGACAAACUUGGAGGUACUUGACCUCAGUAUGGUGAACAUUUCAUCUGCAAUACCUGAUUUGAUGACAAAAUUAUUUUUUUUGUCAACUCUUGGGCUCAGAAAGUGUGGGUUAUAUGGUGAAAUUCCGAUUGGCAUCUUCCAGCUGCCAAGCUUACUAAUUCUUGAUGUAGGGAGGAACCGGAAACUCAGGGGUCAUGUGCCUGAAAUUGUUAGUUCCAGUCUAAAGCUUGAGGAAUUAAGACUUGACUACACAGAUAUCUCCGGCAAGCUACCAGACUCCAUAAUGAAACUCAAAUCUCUAAGGAUUCUGGAUAUCAACUACUGCCUUUUCUCAGGUUUCAUUCCAGCCACAGUCAGUAACAUGACCACACUUACCACACUGGACUUGAGCAGAAAUUAUUUUUCAGGCAAGGUUCCACCCCUUGCAAGCAUGUCACAACUCUCUUACCUGUCACUGGCUAACAAUAAUUUCACCGGAAAGAUAUCAGCAUCCUUUGCAAAUCUUACUAGUCUAACUUAUUUAGAUCUUAGUACUAAUAAAUUUUCAGGGAUUGUCCCAUUGUGGCUUAUGAACCUAACUUAUUUAACACACCUUGACCUUUCUUUCAAUCAAUUAAUGCAUGGAUCAGUUCCAAAAUCAUUGUCACAGCUUCAAAAUCUUGAAUAUCUCAGUCUUUCUCAUGCUAAUCUCAGUGGCACUAUAGAAGAAGAUAUAUUUCUCAGCUUGAAAAAACUAACUUACCUCCAACUUUCGCACAACACUCUUUCUUUAGUAGAUAAUAACAAAACCAAUACCACUCUUCCACAAUUCAAGUACUUGGCUUUAAGUGAAUGCAACACGAGAAAGUUCCCAAGUUUCCUACAGUUUCAAGAUGAACUAGAAGAUCUGUUCCUUGAUUUGAAUCAAAUUGAAGGACUUAUACCAGAAUGGAUUUGGAACAAAAGCAGAGAAAGCAUGAAUUCGGUAUGGCUUGGAGGAAACCAACUAACAGGAUUUGACCAUAAUCCUGGAGUCUUGCCGUGGACUCGUUUACGUGUAUUGGACUUAAGUGAUAACAUGAUGGAAGGUCCUCCACCAGUUCUCCCAGCAUCAACCCUAGCUUUUUUUGCAUCAGGAAAUAGAAUGACAGGGGAAAUCUCGCCUUUGAUCUGCAAUGCGAAAACUCUCAUUGUAUUAGAAAUGAGUAACAACAACUUGGUUGGCGAGAUUCCCUCAUGUCUAGGAAACUCUAGCCAUGAUUUGAUGAUACUGAAUCUAAAAGGGAACCACUUUAAAGGAAUCAUACCUGAAAUGAGUUCAGAAGGACUAACGAUGUUGGAUUUAAGUCAAAAUCAAUUACAGGGGAAAGUACCAAGAUCAUUAGCAAACUGCACCUUGCUUCAAGUUCUUGAUCUAGGAGACAAUCAAAUAGAUGACUCAUUCCCUUUAUGGCUUGGAACUCUUCCAGAACUGCAGGUCCUAAUUUUGCGAUCCAACAUGUUCCAUGGUACAAUAGAGAAUCAUACAACCAAUUCAGAGUUUCCAAAGUUGCGAAUCAUCGACCUCUAUAACAAUUCUUUUGCAGGAGAUUUGCCACUUGAACACUUCAAGAAUUGUGAUGCCAUGAAAUUCAAGGUAGACAAGCUGGCAUAUAUGGAUG